AUUGAACGCUGGCGGCAUGCUUUACACAUGCAAGUCGAACGGUAACAGGCCGCAAGGUGCUGACGAGAGGCGAACGGGUGAGUAAUGCAUCGGAACGUGCCCAGUCGUGGGGGAUAACGCAGCGAAAGCUGCGCUAAUACCGCAUACGAUCUAUGGAUGAAAGCGGGGGACCGUAAGGCCUCGCGCGAUUGGAGCGGCCGAUGUCAGAUUAGGUAGUUGGUGGGGUAAAGGCUCACCAAGCCGACGAUCUGUAGCUGGUCUGAGAGGACGACCAGCCACACUGGGACUGAGACACGGCCCAGACUCCUACGGGAGGCAGCAGUGGGGAAUUUUGGACAAUGGGCGAAAGCCUGAUCCAGCAAUGCCGCGUGCAGGAUGAAGGCCUUCGGGUUGUAAACUGCUUUUGUACGGAACGAAAAGCUUCGGGUUAAUACCCUGGAGUCAUGACGGUACCGUAAGAAUAAGCACCGGCUAACUACGUGCCAGCCGCCGCUGUAACAC
rnacentral:rRNA from 1 species